UUGGAAAGUCUGAUGCUAAUUUUACAUAAAAUAUUUUUAUUUAUUAAAUAAUAAUUUAGGAUAAAAAUCCUGGUAUUUUAAAUAAAUUAUUUAUCAUAAUUUGGAUAGUUUAUAUCAACACAUAUGAUAGUGAAUUUGUAAAUAAGCCUAUGGUUAGCUUUUUUUAGCUUGCUUCGAAUUUAAACAAAAAUCAGCUUAU
rnacentral:RNase_P_RNA from 1 species